rnacentral:rRNA from 1 species
UACGUAGGGUCCGAGCGUUGUCCGGAAUUACUGGGCGUAAAGAGCUCGUAGGUGGUUUGUCGCGUUGUUCGUGAAAACUCACAGCUCAACUGUGGGCGUGCGGGCGAUACGGGCAGACUAGAGUACUGCAGGGGAGACUGGAAUUCCUGGUGUAGCGGUGAAAUGUGCAGAUAUCAGGAGGAACACCGGUGGCGAAGGCGGGUCUCUGGGCAGUAACUGACGCUGAGGAACGAAAGCGUGGGUAGCGAACAGG